rnacentral:rRNA from 1 species
UGGGGAAUAUUGGACAAUGGGCGAAAGCCUGAUCCAGCAACGCCGCGUGAGGGAUGACGGCCUUCGGGUUGUAAACCUCUUUCAGCAGGGACGAAGCGCAAGUGACGGUACCUGCAGAAGAAGCACCGGCCAACUACGUGCCAGCAGCCGCGGUAAUACGUAGGGUGCGAGCGUUGUCCGGAAUUAUUGGGCGUAAAGGGCUCGUAGGCGGUUUGUCACGUCGGGAGUGAAACUCGGGGCUUAACCCGAGCCUGCUUCCGAUACGGGCUGACUAGAGGUAUGCAGGGGAGAACGGAAUUCCUGGUGUAGCGGUGAAAUGCGCAGAUAUCAGGAGGAACACCGGUGGCGAAGGCGGUUCUCUGGGCAUUACCUGACGCUGAGGAGCGAAAGUGUGGGGAGCGAACAGGAUUAGAUACCCUGGUAGUCCACACCGUAAACGUUGGGCGCUAGGUGUGGGACUCAUUCCACGAGUUCCGUGCCGCAGCUAACGCAUUAAGCG